rnacentral:rRNA from 1 species
UACAGAGGUCUCAAGCGUUGUUCGGAUUCAUUGGGCGUAAAGGGUGCGUAGGCUGUGGGGUAAGUCUGGUGUGAAAUCCCGGGGCUCAACCCCGGAACUGCACUGGAUACUGCUUUACUAGAGCACUGGAGAGGGAACUGGAAUUUACGGUGUAGCAGUGAAAUGCGUAGAGAUCGGGAGGAACAUCAGUUGCGAAGGCGGCCACCUGGACCAGCACUGACACUGAGGCACGAAAGCGUGGGGAGCAAACAGG